CGGCCGCGUCGACGGCGGCGUGCCUAAUACAGUAGCGAAGUCGAGCGGAACAAUGGGAGCGUUGCUCCCGUUGUUUAGUCGGCGGACGGGUGAGUAACACGUGGGCAACUUGCCCUGCAGAUCGGGAUAACUCCGGGAAAACCGGUGCUAAUACCGAAUAGUUUGUUUCACCGCCUGGUGAAACACGGAAAGACGGUUUCGGCUGUCACUGACAGGAUGGGCCCGCGGCGCAUUAGCUAGUUGGUGGGGUAAUGGCCUACCAAGGCGACGAUGCGUAGCCGACCUGAGAGGGUGAUCGGCCACACUGGGACUGAGACACGGCCCAGACUCCUACGGGAGGCAGCAGUAGGGAAUCUUCCGCAAUGGACGCAAGUCUGAACGGAGCAACGCCGCGUGAGUGACGAAGGUUUUCGGAAUCGUAAAACUCUGUUGUGAGGGAAGAACAAGUACCAAGUAACUACUGGCACCUUGACGGUACCUCACCAGAAACGCCACGGCUAACUACGUGCCAGCAGCCGCGGUAACUACGUAGGUGGCAAGCGUUGUCCGGAAUUAUUGGGCGUAACGG
rnacentral:rRNA from 1 species